GUCCUAAGGUUCUCUUUAAUAUAAAUAUAUGAUACUUUAUUAUAUGUAGUAUUUUAAUCAAAUAACAAUUCCUAAACUCUUUUCAAAGUUAUUUAAAAGUUAGUCUUUUAUUCCAAAUUAUUUCAAUUGUAGUCACUCCAAUUUAUUCAAAUCCUAGUCCUUCAUCUCUUAUGAAAUCAAUGGUUGAGAUUAAAUUCUUCUUUUCCCUAUUUAUAAACUAUCAAAAAAUCUAAACCUAAACCCUAGUCUUCUUAUUCUCUCCUCCUCCCUGCCUUCCCCUUCGCUCUUCUCUUCCUCUUCUCCUCUCCAGCGAGCUGCCAUGCAGCUCCGAUCAGCGGCGACCAGUGAGAGAGGCAGCAAAAUUCCGGCGAGAUGCUCCAGGCGGCGCUGCCCCUUCCCCCUUUUCUCCUUCCCUCUCAGAUCUCUCCUCCCUCCUCUUCUACUUGUUCUUUUUUUCUCUCUCUUUACAGGACCACCAGGAAGCAGGCUCCGGCGAAGAACAGCGACAAGCAGCAACAACAACCAGACGCUGCCUCAUCUCAAUCUCAGGGCGAGCAUCUGCGAAAGCCAGCUCCGACCAGCUGCAAUUCGACGAUUCUCCACUUUUCCGACGAGGACGGACAACAUACUCCUGCGAGCAUAUCGAGGUUUUGAGACAGAUCUUUAACAGAUCUGUCCAGGAGUCUUCCGUUGUUAGUAGACGAGAAAGACGAGCGAGGGAGAAACAGAUAGUCUCCAUGGCUUCACCAAGUUUAGGUUCUCAGCAUCCAAAUCACGCAUAGAUCGAUUCUCCGAUCUUUAGAUCAGCAGAUUCAGUGGUUUAGCUUGGGAUCACUUGUGGUCCUAGGUUCCUUGUCUGCGUCUCGGGUCUAGCUCAGGGCGUGACACCCAGAAAAAGAGAAGUUGUAAGUCUAAAAUGGAUUUACGAAAUCCAACUCAAUCAGGAAGGAGAUAUUCAAAAGCACAAAGCAAGGCUGGUUGCAACAGGUUUCAUGCAAAAACCAGUUUAAAAUUUUUAAAUGACGAUAGAAAAAGUUGUUGAUCGAGGAAGAAUGUGGACUGAGACUGAUAGGAGAAAAGAUAGAAGUUAUGUAACUGAGGUGACUAAGGAGAUUGGGGUGUAUUCUCAAAUGGCAUAAGGAAAAGUUGUUGAUCGAGGCAGAAUGUGGACUGAGACUCAUAGGAUAAAAGAUGGGGUAAAUAUUCUUUCUGUAGACAAUUACUCGAGUAUAUGAUUAUAGUAUUGCACUAUUUGAGAUUUUGUUCUUUAACUCAAUUUUACUUAAUUAUAACCCUAGAUAAGAAGGUUUGGUGGUUGAAGAUUAGGAUAGUGGAAUAGUAGGUAGCUUAGUAUUGUCGUACAUUUAUGUGGGAGACGCAGAGGCUAGUCUCUUUUGCUUAUCGUCUUUGUAUCCAGUAGUAAUAUUAGUAUUUACCUAAUAUCUUAUUUAAUAGACAUAGAAUCCAUUGAGACAUCAGAAGAUGAAUAGUAGUAUAAAUCCG
rnacentral:misc_RNA from 1 species